GACUUGAUCUUCCUAGUACUGGACCCGCAGGACGAGGUGUUUGACCGCCGGCUGGCUGCGCAUCUCGUCUCUCUUUACUAUAAGGAUCCCGCCGACGCACAGGAAGACGAGGAAAACAUUAGCACGGGCGUGAUGCGCGACUUCAUAGCGUACGCCAAGGAGUACGUACAGCCCGUACUCAGUGAGCCAGCGCAGCAGCGACUUAUUGACGCAUACGUCGAUAUGAGACGUGUGGGCAGCGGCCGCGGUCAGAUCUCCGCCUACCCGCGACAGCUGGAGUCCCUCAUCCGGCUCGCGGAGGCGCACGCGCGCGUCAGACUCUCGCCUAUUGUUGAAAUUAUUGACGUAGAUGAAGC